rnacentral:rRNA from 1 species
UACGUAGGGCGCAAGCGUUAUUCGGAAUCACUGGGCUUAAAGCGCGUGUAGGCGGAUGGGAACGUCGGUAGUUGAAAGCCCCCGGCUCAACCGGGGAAGUGGUGCCGAAACGACCCGUCUGGAGGGACGUAGGGGGACCUGGAACUUCCGGUGGAGCGGUGAAAUGCGUUGAGAUCGGAAGGAACGCCCGUGGCGAAAGCGAGGUCCUGGACGUCUACUGACGCUGAGACGCGAAAGCUAGGGGAGCAAACGGG